rnacentral:lncRNA from 1 species
GCGUGUGUUGUGUUGUGUGUGUGUGUGUGUGUGCGUGUGUGUGUGUGUGUGUGCGUGUGUGUAGAAUUCACGUAACGUUACCAUGAAGAGUAUUAGUACAACUAGUAGCUAACAGUUGUAGCAUUAGCUGUCCGUGCGUGUCUGGGAGCUUUACUUAACGACACAACACACGCAUUUAUAUAAAUAUAUAUAUACUUGAAGGUGGACAAACAAGCAGUGAGUGAUUUACCCUAUCUCUUCAAGCAGUUGCUCUCUUGAACACCAUGCAUGGGUUAGACGGUUCGACAAGACCAGGAUAAGCUGCAGAGUUGUCAGGCUUUGAAAUGGUUUCUACAGCUGGAUGCCCUUCCUAAUUCUGAAUCUCAUCGUAUG